rnacentral:rRNA from 1 species
CACUGCCGUCACGCCAUGGAGUUGGUUUUACUCGAAGCAGGUGAGCUAACCGUAAGGAGGCAGCCUACCACAGUAAGGUCAGCGACUGGGGUG